rnacentral:rRNA from 1 species
UACGGAGGGUGCAAGCGUUGUCCGGAAUCACUGGGCGUAAAGGGCGCGUAGGCGGCCCGGGUAAGGUUGCGGUGAAAGCCCGGGGCUCAACCCCGGGUCGGCCGUGGCAACUGCUGGGCUGGAGCACAGUAGAGGCGGGUGGAAUUCCGGGUGUAGCGGUGGAAUGCGUAGAGAUCCGGAAGAACACCGGUGGCGAAGGCGGGUCUCUGGGCAGUAACUGACGCUGAGGAGCGAAAGCGUGGGGAGCGAACAGG